rnacentral:miRNA from 1 species
UAUAUGAUCUCGGACCAGGCU